GGGGGGGGGGGGGGGGGGGGGGGGGGGGGGGGGGGGGGGGGGGGGGGGGGGGGGGGGGGGGGGGGGGGGGGGCUGGUCUGGCCUGGUUUGGUCUGUCUGGUCUGGUUUAGUCUGGUUUGGUUUGGUCUGGUCUGCUCUGGUCUGUUUGGUUUAGUCUGGUCUGGUCUGGUUUAGUCUGGUCUGGUCUGGUCUGUCUGGUCUGGUUUAGUCUGGUUUGGUCUGGUUUGGUCUGUCUGGUCUGGUUUGGUCUGGUUUGGUCUGGUUUAGUCUGGUAUGGUCUGGUCUGGUUUAGUCUGGUUUGGUUUAGUCUGGUUGAUUUAGUCUGGUCUGGUCUGGUCUGUCUGGUCUGGUUUAGUCUGGUUUGGUCUGGUUUAAUCUGGUUUAGUCUGGUUUAGUCUGGUCUGGUCUGGUCAGGUUUGGUCUGUCUGGUCUGGUUUAGUCUGGACUGGUCUGUCUGGUCUGGUUUAGUCUGGUUUAGUCUGGUCUAGUCUGGUCUGGUCUGGUUUCCCAAUGGGAGGUGUGAAAACUGGGAGUGGUGUAGCACAGGACCCACGUCCCCAACAGAUCCUCAGCAUUUCAGAAAUAUUUGGGAAGGAAGUUGAUUUUCUACAGUACAGCAUUGAGAAUUUUAGGUUUUUAAGUGUCAGUUAACCAAUAAGUUGGUUAAUUGGUUAAUUAACCAAUAAAUCCAUUGCUGGGGGGAAAAAUAAAAGCAGUGUAUUCUCCAUGAUGUUUUUGCAGAUGUACAUAGAAAUUCUCAUUCUCCCAAACUAAGGAAAAAAAACAAACCCUGCAGUCUGGUCUGGUUUGGUCUGUCUAGUCUGGUUUAGUCUGGUCUGGUCUGGUCUGGUCUGGUUUAGUCUGGUUUGGUCUGUCUGGUCUGGUUUAGUCUGGACUGGUCUGUCUGGUCUGGUUUAGUCUGGUUUGGUUUGGUCUGGUCUGGUUUAGUCUGGUGUCUGGUUUAGUCUGGUUUACUCUGAUUUAGUCUGGUCUGGUCUUGUCUGUCUGGUCUGGUUUAGUCUGGUUUGGUCUGGUUUGGUCUGUCUGGUCUGGUUUGGUCUGGUUUGGUCUGGUUUAGUCUGGUAUGGUCUGGUCUGGUUUAGUCUGGUUUGGUUUAGUCUGGUUGAUUUAGUCCAAUGGGAGGUGUGAAAACUGGGAGUGGUGUAGCACAGGACCCACGUCCCCAACAGAUCCUCAGCAUUUCAGAAAUAUUUGGGAAGGAAGUUGAUUUUCUACAGUACAGCAUUGAGAAUUUUAGGUUUUUAAGUGUCAGUUAACCAAUAAGUUGGUUAAUUGGUUAAUUAACCAAUAAAUCCAUUGCUGGGGGGAAAAAUAAAAGCAGUGUAUUCUCCAUGAUGUUUUUGCAGAUGUACAUAGAAAUUCUCAUUCUCCCAAACUAAGGAAAAAAAACAAACCCUGCAGAUUUAAAGAGGCAAAAUAAAGCCUUGAUCAGGCUAGAAAAACCAGGAUUGUCAAAUGAUCCCUGUGUAAUCAUCCACUUUAAGAAUAAAAAAUCAGCUCCAAAUUUUUGUUGUACAUAUUGUUGCUGCAUGCUUACCAUAUGUUAGAUGGAAGCAUUUCCUAUCCAUUGUGGAUAAAAGAACAUUUUUCAAGUUGUAGUAAAUUAUUAUAAAGCCAAUGACAUUUCAUGGCAUGUUACCG
rnacentral:lncRNA from 12 species